rnacentral:rRNA from 1 species
CGUGUAGGCGGCGGAUUUAGUUAGGCGUGAAAGCCCCGGGCUCAACCUGGGAACUGCGCUUAAUACUGAUCUGCUAGAGUCCGGGAGAGGCUGGUGGAAUAUCCAGUGUAGAGGUGAAAUUCGUAGAUAUUGGAUGGAACACCGAUGGCGAAGGCAGCCAGCUGGACCGGUACUGACGCUGAGGCGCGAAAGCGUGGGGAGCAAACA